UACAGAGGAUGCAAGCGUUAUCCGGAAUGAUUGGGCGUAAAGCGUCUGUAGGUGGCUUUUUAAGUCCGCCGUCAAAUCCCAGGGCUCAACUCUGGACAGGCGGUGGAAACUACCAAGCUGGAGUACGGUAGGGGCAGAGGGAAUUUCCGGUGUAGCGGUGAAAUGCGUAGAUAUCGGAAGGAACACCAGUGGCGAAAGCGGCUUCCUGGUCCAGCACCGACAUUCAGGCACGAAAGCGUGGGGAGCAAACAGG
rnacentral:rRNA from 1 species